AUGAACGCUAGCUACAGGGCUUUAACACAUGCAAGUCGAGGGGCAGCAUGGUCUUAGCUUGCUAAGGCCGAUGGCGACCGGCGCACGGGUGAGUAACACGUAUCCAACCUGCCGUCUAACUCUUUGGACAGCCUUCUGAAAGGAAGAUUAAUACAAGAUGGCAUCAUGAGUUCACAUGUUCACAUGAUUAAAGGUAUUCCGGUAGACGAUGGGGAUGCGUUCCAUUAGAUAGUAGGCGGGGUAACGGCCCACCUAGUCUUCGAUGGAUAGGGGUUCUGAGAGGAAGGUCCCCCACAUUGGAACUGAGACACGGUCCAAACUCCUACGGGAGGCAGCAGUGAGGAAUAUUGGUCAAUGGGCGCUAGCCUGAACCAGCCAAGUAGCGUGAAGGAUGAAGGCUCUAUGGGUCGUAAACUUCUUUUAUACGGGAAUAAAGUUUCCUACGUGUAGGAUUUUGUAUGUACCGUAUGAAUAAGCAUCGGCUAACUCCGUG
rnacentral:rRNA from 1 species